AUUGAACGCUGGCGGCAGGCUUAACACAUGCAAGUCGAGCGGGGGAAGUGGCUUCGGUAACUGACCUAGCGGCGGACGGGUGAGUAAUGCUUAGGAAUCUGCCUAUUAGUGGGGGACAACAUUUCGAAAGGGAUGCUAAUACCGCAUACGCCCUACGGGGGAAAGCAGGGGAUCUUCGGACCUUGCGCUAAUAGAUGAGCCUAAGUCGGAUUAGCUAGUUGGUGGGGUAAAGGCCUACCAAGGCGACGAUCUGUAGCGGGUCUGAGAGGAUGAUCCGCCACACUGGGACUGAGACACGGCCCAGACUCCUACGGGAGGCAGCAGUGGGGAAUAUUGGACAAUGGGGGGAACCCUGAUCCAGCCAUGCCGCGUGUGUGAAGAAGGCCUUUUGGUUGUAAAGCACUUUAAGCGAGGAGGAGGCUACUGGUAUUAAUACUACUGGAUAGUGGACGUUACUCGCAGAAUAAGCACCGGCUAACUCUGUGCCAGCCGCCGCCGUAAGAC
rnacentral:rRNA from 1 species